rnacentral:rRNA from 1 species
CCAUUCUAAGCGGUGGAUCACUCGGCUCGUAAGG